CUUUCAAUAAGCGGAGGAAAGAAACUUACAAGGAUCCCCUAGUAACGGCGAGUGAAGCGGGAUGAGCUCAAAUUUAAAAUCUGGCUGGUUUACUAGUCCGAAUUGUAGUUUAAAGAAGCGUUUUCGGUGGCAGCCUGGGUAUAAAUCCUUUGGAACAGGGUAUCAUAGAGGGUGAGAAUCCCGUCUUUGACUCAGUGCAUGCUACUAUGUGAUACGUUUUCAAAGAGUCGAGUUGUUUGGGAAUGCAGCUCAAAAUGGGUGGUAAAUUUCAUCUAAAGCUAAAUAUUGGCGAGAGACCGAUAGCGAACAAGUACCGUGAGGGAAAGAUGAAAAGAACUUUGAAAAGAGAGUUAAACAGUGCGUGAAAUUGUUGAAAGGGAAACGCUUGACACCAGUCAUGCGAGCGGAAAAUCAGUCUUUUGCAGUGGGGAGUUGUGUGGGUUCGGACCGCAAGGCCGGCCUGCGCUGCAUCUCUGCUGUAAGUGAUGCACUUUUUCGUUUGCAGGCCAACAUCAGUUUCUUCUGCUGGACAAAACUCUUGAGAAGGUGGCAGCUUAGGCUGUGUUAUAGCUCUUGAGCGAUACAGUGGAGGGGACUGAGGUUUUCGCAGCGCGUGCUCUCGGGCAAGGCUGAUUGGGUGCUAUGGGAUCGUUCGGUGUACAAUGCAUGCAUUUUGCGCCGUGUCUUUUCUAUACUCGCUCAACUCGGCUCUUCCGCGCUUAGGAUGUUGGCUUAAUGGUUUUAAUCGACCCGUCUUGAAACACGGACCAAGGAGUCUAACAUAUAUGCAAGUGUUUGGGUGGCAAACCCAUGCGCGUAAUGAAAGUGAACGUAGGUGCGAUCCGCAAGGUGCAGCAUCGACCGAUCUUGAUAUUUUUGGAUAGAUUUGAGUAAGAGCAUAUAUGCUGGGACCCGAAAGAUGGUGAACUAUGCCUGAAUAGGGUGAAGCCAGAGGAAACUCUGGUGGAGGCUCGUAGCGAUUCUGACGUGCAAAUCGAUCGUCAAAUUUGGGUAUAGGGGCGAAAGACUAAUCGAACCAUCAGAGUGCG
rnacentral:rRNA from 1 species